GUCACCCUUACUCUACAGCCAAACAUGCAGGACUCUAGUAACCCGCGAAAUGAUGGGAUUGCGUUGCAAAUCAUUAAAAGAGUCUUAUAGCCCAUACGACGAUUGCCUCAGGUUGCCCGAGUUGCCCACAACAGCACAGUGCCAGCAGCCCACCGACCUCUUCUCCAGCAUUGGGUCCACAUUCCCAGAAAUCCUGGCUGACCUUGACUUCUCCACUGCAACCAUCGAGUUCAUUGCCUCCUGAACCUUGCCAUGGAGGCCUGUGGCACCUGAGCCAGCCAUUAUCAUCACCAGCACUUCCAUGAGCUCCAAGCUGGACCCACUGCAGUCCUCCUGAAACACUGAAAUCAGAGCCUGCACACAGAGCAGCAGAUGCUUCAUGUAAAGGCCAUUUUUAGGCCCUUGACAGGCAUGCAUCUGGGCCAGAUCCAUGGCAAUAACCUUCAGGUUGAGGCUGGAGGGCUUCAGAUGGGCAGCUUUGAAUGACAGGAGCAAGGACCAAGAGGCCGGAAAGGCAGGGUGACUUUUUCAGCAUCUAUAAGAUCAACUUUAGAAAUAUUUUGGGGUUGACAAAUUCCCAUUAAGCUCUGUGGAUCUUGUACAACUGCUGACCACUGGCUUCUCAUCAGCACAUGAUUGGUACAGGGUUCUGAGGAUGAUUUUGAGAUGUUCCCUGAUGUGGUCUUGUGAGGAGAUGUCAUGACAGAUGGCAGGAAUCUUCAUGGAGAGAUUUCUGAAGAGGCUCCUGAGCUCCCAACACCAGGCAACUCUCUUGCAGAGGAUA
rnacentral:antisense_RNA from 1 species